CGGGUGAGUAAUGUCUGGGAAACUGCCUGAUGGAGGGGGAUAACUACUGGAAACGGUAGCUAAUACCGCAUAAUGUCGCAAGACCAAAGGGGGGGACCUUCGGGCCUCUUGCCAUCGGAUGUGCCCAGAUGGGAUUAGCUAGUAGGUGGGGUAACGGCUCACCUAGGCGACGAUCCCUAGCUGGUCUGAGAGGAUGACCAGCCACACUGGAACUGAGACACGGUCCAG
rnacentral:rRNA from 1 species